UGGGGAAUAUUGGACAAUGGGGGCAACCCUGAUCCAGCAAUGCCGCGUGUGUGAAGAAGGUUUUCGGAUUGUAAAGCACUUUCGACGGGGACGAUGAUGACGGUACCCGUAGAAGAAGCCCCGGCUAACUUCGUGCCAGCAGCCGCGGUAAUACGAAGGGGGCUAGCGUUGCUCGGAAUGACUGGGCGUAAAGGGCGUGUAGGCGGUUUGUACAGUCAGAUGUGAAAUCCCCGGGCUUAACCUGGAGCUGCAUUUGAUACGUGCAGACUAGAGUGUGAGAGAGGGUUGUGGAAUUCCCAGUGUAGAGGUGAAAUUCGUAGAUAUUGGGAAGAACACCGGUGGCGAAGGCGGCAACCUGGCUCAUAACUGACGCUGAGGCGCGAAAGCGUGGGGAG
rnacentral:rRNA from 1 species